AGCGUACACGGUGGAUGCCUAGGCAGUCAGAGGCGAUGAAGGGCGUGCUAAUCUGCGAAAAGCGUCGGUAAGCUGAUAUGAAGCGUUAUAACCGACGAUACCCGAAUGGGGAAACCCAGUGCAAUACGUUGCACUAUCGUUAGAUGAAUACAUAGUCUAACGAGGCGAACCGGGGGAACUGAAACAUCUAAGUACCCCGAGGAAAAGAAAUCAACCGAGAUUCCCCCAGUAGCGGCGAGCGAACGGGGAGGAGCCCAGAGUCUGAAUCAGUUUGUGUGUUAGUGGAAGCGUCUGGAAAGUCGCACGGUACAGGGUGAUAGUCCCGUACACCAAAAUGCACAGGCUGUGAACUCGAUGAGUAGGGCGGGACACGUGACAUCCUGUCUGAAUAUGGGGGGACCAUCCUCCAAGGCUAAAUACUCCUGACUGACCGAUAGUGAACCAGUACCGUGAGGGAAAGGCGAAAAGAACCCCGGCGAGGGGAGUGAAAUAGAACCUGAAACCGUGUACGUACAAGCAGUGGGAGCACCUUCGUGGUGUGACUGCGUACCUUUUGUAUAAUGGGUCAGCGACUUAUAUUUUGUAGCAAGGUUAACCGAAUAGGGGAGCCGUAGGGAAACCGAGUCUUAACUGGGCGUCUAGUUGCAAGGUAUAGACCCGAAACCCGGUGAUCUAGCCAUGGGCAGGUUGAAGGUUGGGUAACACUAACUGGAGGACCGAACCGACUAAUGUUGAAAAAUUAGCGGAUGACUUGUGGCUGGGGGUGAAAGGCCAAUCAAACCGGGAGAUAGCUGGUUCUCCCCGAAAGCUAUUUAGGUAGCGCCUCGUGAACUCAUCUUCGGGGGUAGAGCACUGUUUCGGCUAGGGGGCCAUCCCGGCUUACCAAACCGAUGCAAACUCCGAAUACCGAAGAAUGUUAUCACGGGAGACACACGGCGGGUGCUAACGUCCGUCGUGAAGAGGGAAACAACCCAGACCGCCAGCUAAGGUCCCAAAGUCAUGGUUAAGUGGGAAACGAUGUGGGAAGGCACAGACAGCCAGGAUGUUGGCUUAGAAGCAGCCAUCAUUUAAAGAAAGCGUAAUAGCUCACUGGUCGAGUCGGCCUGCGCGGAAGAUGUAACGGGGCUAAACCAUGCACCGAAGCUGCGGCAGCGACGUUUAGGCGGCCUGCGCGGAAGAUGUAACGGGGCUAAACCAUGCACCGAAGCUGCGGCAGCGACACUUAGGUGUUGUUGGGUAGGGGAGCGUUCUGUAAGCCGUUGAAGGUGACCUGUGAGGGUUGCUGGAGGUAUCAGAAGUGCGAAUGCUGACAUAAGUAACGAUAAUGCGGGUGAAAAACCCGCACGCCGGAAGACCAAGGGUUCCUGUCCAACGUUAAUCGGGGCAGGGUGAGUCGACCCCUAAGGCGAGGCUGAAAAGCGUAGUCGAUGGGAAACAGGUUAAUAUUCCUGUACUUGGUGUUACUGCGAAGGGGGGACGGAGAAGGCUAGGCUGGCCGGGCGACGGUUGUCCCGGUUUAAGCGUGUAGGGGGAGUGACCAGGUAAAUCCGGUUGCUUAUCAACCCUGAGGCGUGAUGACGAUGCACCACGGUGCAGAAGCAGUUGAUGCCAUGCUUCCAGGAAAAGCCUCUAAGCAUCAGGUAACAUUAAAUCGUACCCCAAACCGACACAGGUGGUCAGGUAGAGAAUACUCAGGCGCUUGAGAGAACUCGGGUGAAGGAACUAGGCAAAAUGGUGCCGUAACUUCGGGAGAAGGCACGCUGGCGUUAGGUGAAAGGACUAGCUCCUGGAGCUGAAGCCAGUCGCAGAUACCAGCUGGCUGCAACUGUUUAAUAAAAACACAGCACUGUGCAAACACGAAAGUGGACGUAUACAGUGUGACGCCUGCCCGGUGCUGGAAGGUUAAUUGAUGGGGUCAGCCGCAAGGCGAAGCUCUUGAUCGAAGCCCCAGUAAACGGCGGCCGUAACUAUAACGGUCCUAAGGUAGCGAAAUUCCUUGUCGGGUAAGUUCCGACCUGCACGAAUGGCGUAAUGAUGGCCAGGCUGUCUCCACCCGAGACUCAGUGAAAUUGAACUCGCUGUGAAGAUGCAGUGUACCCGCGGCAAGACGGAAAGACCCCGUGAACCUUUACUAUAGCUUGACACUGAACAUUGAGCCUUGAUGUGUAGGAUAGGUGGGAGGCCUUGAAGUGUGGACGCCAGUCUGCAUGGAGCCAACCUUGAAAUACCACCCUUUAAUGUUUGAUGUUCUAACUCGGCCCCAUGAUCUGGGGUGAGGACAGUGUCUGGUGGGUAGUUUGACUGGGGCGGUCUCCUCCCAAAGAGUAACGGAGGAGCACGAAGGUUAGCUAAUCACGGUCGGACAUCGUGAGGUUAGUGCAAAGGCAUAAGCUAGCUUGACUGCGAGAGUGACGGCUCGAGCAGGUACGAAAGUAGGUCUUAGUGAUCCGGUGGUUCUGAAUGGAAGGGCCAUCGCUCAACGGAUAAAAGGUACUCCGGGGAUAACAGGCUGAUACCGCCCAAGAGUUCAUAUCGACGGCGGUGUUUGGCACCUCGAUGUCGGCUCAUCACAUCCUGGGGCUGAAGUAGGUCCCAAGGGUAUGGCUGUUCGCCAUUUAAAGUGGUACGCGAGCUGGGUUUAGAACGUCGUGAGACAGUUCGGUCCCUAUCUGCCGUGGGCGUUGGAAGAUUGAGAGGGGCUGCUCCUAGUACGAGAGGACCGGAGUGGACGAAUCACUGGUGUUCGGGUUGUCAUGCCAAUGGCAUUGCCCGGUAGCUAAAUUCGGAAGAGAUAACCGCUGAAAGCAUCUAAGCGGGAAACUUGCCUCGAGAUGAGUCUUCCCUGGGGCUUAAAGCCCCCUGAAGGAACGUUAAAGACUAUGACGUUGAUAGGCUGGGUGUGUAAGUGCAGCGAUGUAUUGAGCUAACCAGUACUAAUGAUCCGUGAGGCUUAACC
rnacentral:rRNA from 1 species